UGAGCCAUAAUGAGAGCUUGGGAACAGCAUUACCUAAAUCAAAUUUGCUGACACAUCAGCGUAAGGUCAAAUUCUGAAUGAAGCUGUGUAAAGCUGCAUUCACAUGUGCUUAAGAAUGGAGGAGAGGAACACCCGUUCCUGUGGAGUCACUCUAUGGAAGGAGACUGAAGCUCUUGGAAGGCACUUGGACAGACUUCUACAUGCCAGAAGUUAAUAUUGCUGUUCACAAAGAAGAAAAUCUUCC
rnacentral:lncRNA from 1 species